CCGUAACUAUAACGGUCCUAAGGUAGCGAAAUUCCUUGUCGGGUAAGUUCCGACCUGCACGAAUGGCGUAAUGAUGGCCAGGCUGUCUCCACCCGAGACUCAGUGAAAUUGAACUCGCUGUGAAGAUGCAGUGUACCCGCGGCAAGACGGAAAGACCCCGUGAACCUUUACUAUAGCUUGACACUGAACAUUGAGCCUUGAUGUGUAGGAUAGGUGGGAGGCUUUGAAGUGUGGACGCCAGUCUGCAUGGAGCCGACCUUGAAAUACCACCCUUUAAUGUUUGAUGUUCUAACGUGGACCCGUUACCCGGGUUGCGGACAGUGUCUGGUGGGUAGUUUGACUGGGGCGGUCUCCUCCUAAAGAGUAACGGAGGAGCACGAAGGUUGGCUAAUCCUGGUCGGACAUCAGGAGGUUAGUGCAAUGGCAUAAGCCAGCUUGACUGCGAGCGUGACGGCGCGAGCAGGUGCGAAAGCAGGUCAUAGUGAUCCGGUGGUUCUGAAUGGAAGGGCCAUCGCUCAACGGAUAAAAGGUACUCCGGGGAUAACAGGCUGAUACCGCCCAAGAGUUCAUAUCGACGGCGGUGUUUGGCACCUCGAUGUCGGCUCAUCACAUCCUGGGGCUGAAGUAGGUCCCAAGGGUAUGGCUGUUCGCCAUUUAAAGUGGUACGCGAGCUGGGUUUAGAACGUCGUGAGACAGUUCGGUCCCUAUCUGCCGUGGGCGCUGGAGAACUGAGGGGGGCUGCUCCUAGUACGAGAGGACCGGAGUGGACGCAUCACUGGUGUUCGGGUUGUCAUGCCAAUGGCACUGCCCGGUAGCUAAAUGCGGAAGAGAUAAGUGCUGAAAGCAUCUAAGCACGAAACUUGCCCCGAGAUGAGUUCUCCCUGAGACUUAGAGUCUCCUGAAGGAACGUUGAAGACGACGACGUUGAUAGGCCGGGUGUGUAAGCGCAGCGAUGCGUUGAGCUAACCGGUACUAAUGAACCGUGAGGCUUAACCUU
rnacentral:rRNA from 1 species